ensembl:miRNA
GCUGUUGGCCUCUGGCACUGUGGUUCCUGUAUGAAAAUAGAGGCUGUCAGGGCCUAGACCUACAACGCCACUUCUGCUGUCACAGUGAAGUCUCC